GGCCGGUUAGCUCAGUCAGUUGAGCAUGGCGCUGACAAUGCCAAGGCCACGGGUUAGAUUCUUGUUUAGUCCC
rnacentral:tRNA from 1 species